GUGCUUGCUUCAAAAGCACAUAUACUAAAAUUGGAAUGAUACAAAGAAGAUUAGCAUGGCCCCUG
rnacentral:snRNA from 1 species